UGGGGGAAUAUUGCACAAUGGGCGAAAGCCUGAUGCAGCAACGCCGCGUGAGCGAUGAAGGCCUUCGGGUCGUAAAGCUCUGUCCUCAAGGAAGAUAAUGACGGUACUUGAGGAGGAAGCCCCGGCUAACUACGUGCCAGCAGCCGCGGUAAUACGUAGGGGGCUAGCGUUAUCCGGAUUUACUGGGCGUAAAGGGUGCGUAGGUGGUCUCUUAAGUCAGGAGUGAAAGGCUACGGCUUAACCGUAGUAAGCUCUUGAAACUGGGAGACUUGAGUGCAGGAGAGGAAAGUGGAAUUCCUAGUGUAGCGGUGAAAUGCGUAGAUAUCACUCAGAACACCGAUUGCGAAGGCAUCUCGCGAGGGGUCAAUUGACGCUGAGGCACGAAAGCGUGGGGGAUCGAACAGGAUUAGAUACCCUGGUAG
rnacentral:rRNA from 1 species